GCACAUGCGCAGAAUUAUCGUUGUGCGGUCCUCUCCCUUUGCUUCUACGGUCGCAGUCCUCUUGCUUCUUUUAUUGCGCGUGCGUGUAGCGCUUUUGCAAAGCCACGGAGGUGAAAUGAACGUAGAGGCUGUGGGGCCGAGGGUCCACUUAUAGCUAUCAGCCCACAGGCAUUUAAUCUACGUUGGAGGUAAACAAAUACGGGUCCAGCUUAGGAGAAAAGAAAAACGUCUUACAGCCAGUGUCUAAACUCCAAACAACGGAAUGUAUCAAUGAGACCUUGCAUAUGGAUACACGUGCAUUUAAAACGGCCCCGCCGGCGUGUAGAACCCUUGCCGUUCGCCAGCGCUUUACAGGGGUUAUCGCACUUAAGCCUCGGAACAACUUUACCAGAUGAGGACACCUGAGGCUCAGAUUAAGAAAUCUGCCCCAAAGUCUUAGAACUGGUAUUCUCUGCUGGUUGAAUGCAAAUGGAAGCCGGAGGAAAAGGGAACCCUUGACUCCGUUUUCAUAUAGAUUGGCCUCCAGGGCAGACAGCAGAGUGGGGUUUAAUCUGGACUGGAUUGGAGGAAAGGAACUGGCACCAGAGUGGAGGCUGGACAGAUGGUGGAACUGACACUGGGACAGAACACAGAAAACAGAAUCUAAUGCUAUUGCUCUGGCUGUAUCAAAUAAAAGUAUCAAGAGUGAGCAUCCCUGCCUUGUGCUGAAUCACAGAGGAAAACCUUUCAGUUUUUCUCCAUUGAUUAUGAUGUUAGCAGUGGGCUUUUCACAUGUGGGCUUUAUUGUGUUGAGGAGGAGGUCUGAUGGCUGGGAGGAUGGGAAGAAGGAACCCACGAUGAAGCAAAAGUCACAUUUAACUUUGUCCUCACCAUUCCUCUCCUGGGCCUGUCCUAAACGGGAAGCUGGGGGAGGAUAGAGUGCUGGAAUGCUGCAGAAGUCUCAUGGGAGGGCGCUUGGUGUUCACCACAGUGUACAGUGUUGCACGACCAGAUGCAAAUUUGAAUGCUUGGGCUCAGUGGAACACCUGAAGGAAGCUGGUGAGGCACAUGUCCCGUUAUGCCUUCCAAGUGUCCUGCAACCAGUUCAUGCCUGUCAGCAUCUUUGCCGGUGGACUCUGUGAGUCAGCAAAUCUACAGAGCAGAGAGCCACAAGUGGGGACAGAUGUGGUCAAAUCCCAUUUAAAUCAGUGAUUCUCAAACCAGGAGUUGUCAUGGUACUGGCCUUGAGUGAGCUGGACCAAGGGAAGUGGUAGAAUUCCCCAUGAAGGACCAAGCAAGCAGAUGGAAGUUUCUCCAUUUUAACGUUUUCUGAGUCAAUUUAAAAAACACCUAGUGCCUUUUUCUGU